AGCAGAUAACAUAUAACCAUUUCUAAAAAUACUGGAAUCAAGAAAAGACAGCUGUCCAAAAUUGCUAAAAUCCCAAAGCAUGAAAAUAAAACAGAAACCAGAUGAUCAAUCAGACUACUCAUCACCAAAAAUGUCAAAGCCCAUCUCCUCAUCAGACUCCUCAGAUUCGGCCGGUGCCGCAGCAGCUGGAGCAGCAGCUGCAGCUGCAGGGGCUGCAUCUGCAGCAGCUGCAGCUGGGGCAGCAGCAGCAAAUUUGCUGGGGUCCUUCAGAUACUCCUUUACUGUCUCAGCCUGUGGGAAGCUGUAUUCCGUGGCCAGAGCAACCGCCAGCACAUUCUUGUAAGCAUUGAUGAACAUGUGGGGUGCUGCUGCCAAGGUUGGGUAGGAGAGAGCAAGAGACAAGGACGUAACCAUGGAAACACCAGCAGCAAACCUCCCAAUGAGAUCAUCCUCAGUGAGGUCGAGCACCUCAGGGCUGAAGACCGACCCAUUGUCAUAUACAUUCACCACCACAAGGCCAUACGAGAACGGCUUUAUGCCGAGCUUGGCAAGCAAGGCAGCCUCAGAGGACCCCACCUUGUCUCCCUUCUUGAUUAGGUCAACAGGGGUGAUGAUCUCAACAGUACCCUUGUUGAUCUUGGUAGGAAUGUUGAGCACCUGGAAGAAAGAAGUCUGGGAAGGAUCCAAUCCAGUGUUGCCAGGAGGAACCACGACAUCGAUAGGAGCAACAAGGCCAACACGGGCAGGGGCACCAACCUUAUACUCGGCCACCUUCUCGCUAACCUCCUUCAGAUCUCCCUUAGUGAAGAUAAGUCCAACAUUACCGACGAGGAGGGGGAGGAGGUUGAGGUAGGCGUUGUUCUCGGUCUUCUCGGCGUGGAACUUGAUGCAGCGGCGGAUGAGGGUGUUCUUCCCCAUGAGGAUAACAGAGUCGCCGCGGAGGCCACUGCGAAUGCUCUGCAGUUGCUUCGAUCCGACGUUGUCCGCCACUGCGACCAGCACCUGGCUGUACUCAUCGAGCAGCUCGCACAGCUUCUUGUCGUACGCCUGCUUCUUCAACGCUUUCGACUUCGCCGGUG
rnacentral:misc_RNA from 1 species